UUAGUUGCGGGUAACGGCCACCAAGGCGACGAUCAGUAGCCGACCUGAGAGGGUGACCGGCCACAUUGGGACUGAGACACGGCCCAAACUCCUACGGGAGGCAGCAGUGGGGAAUAUUGCACAAUGGGGGAAACCCUGAUGCAGCGACGCCGCGUGAGCGAAGAAGUAUUUCGGUAUGUAAAGCUCUAUCAGCAGGGAAGAAGAGAGACGGUAACUUGACUAAGAAGCACCGGCUAAAUAC
rnacentral:rRNA from 1 species